rnacentral:rRNA from 1 species
GACGAACGCUGGCGGCGCGCCUAACACAUGCAAGUCGAACGGAGCUUAGAGAGCUUGCUUUUUAAGCUUAGUGGCGAACGGGUGAGUAACGCGUGAGUAACCUGCCCUAGAGUGGGGGACAACAGUUGGAAACGACUGCUAAUACCGCAUAAGCGCACAGGAUUGCAUGAUCCAGUGUGAAAAACUCCGGUGGUAUGAGAUGGACCCGCGUCUGAUUAGCCAGUUGGCGGGUAACGGCCCACCAAAGCGACGAUCAGUAGCCGACCUGAGAGGGUGACCGGCCACAUUGGGACUGAGACACGGCCCAAAUCCUACGGGAGCAGCAGUGGGAUAUGCNAUGGGGAAACCCUGAUGC